rnacentral:rRNA from 2 species
UCAGGACGAACGCUGGCGGCGUGCCUAAUACAUGCAAGUCGAGCGAAUCAAUAGGAGCUUGCUCCUGUUGGUUAGCGGCGGACGGGUGAGUAACACGUGGGCAACCUGCCUGUAAGACUGGGAUAACACCGGGAAACCGGUGCUAAUACCGGAUAAUCCUUUUCCUCUCAUGAGGGAAAGUUGAAAGUCGGUUUCGGCUGACACUUACAGAUGGGCCCGCGGCGCAUUAGCUAGUUGGUGAGGUAACGGCUCACCAAGGCGACGAUGCGUAGCCGACCUGAGAGGGUGAUCGGCCACACUGGGACUGAGACACGGCCCAGACUCCUACGGGAGGCAGCAGUAGGGAAUCUUCCACAAUGGACGAAAGUCUGAUGGAGCAACGCCGCGUGAGCGAUGAAGGCCUUCGGGUCGUAAAGCUCUGUUGUUAGGGAAGAACAAGUAUCGGAGUAACUGCCGGUACCUUGACGGUACCUAACCAGAAAGCCACGGCNAACUACGUGCCAGCAGCCGCGGU